CACAAAUUCAGAAGUCUUUAUUUUGAAAAAAAUUCUUCCAACAGUAUUUCACAAUGAACAAGAACCAAAUUUAUCUAUCAUACUAAAGUAUUUCAGAAAUGAAUAUUGAAAACAGCCUGUAAGUUUUCAUCCAAUAUUUAAAACCACCUCCUGAACUAAAAUUGGUCUUCAAAAAUCAUGGCGUAUUAACAUUUUCCAAACAUGCCCUGCUGACUAGAAGGUCCUGUUAUUCUUUCUUUUGAACUUCCCAGUAAGUUUCCUUGUUCCCUAUUCCUAGGAUUUAAAGUGCAAAGGUACUUUUUAUGAGCUAUUAGGACAAGUAUUCUUCAUUGAAAAUAAACUUUUGCAGAAAACAAAUCCUGUGCUUGACUAACAGCAAAGACAUGUUAAGAAAUUUCUGAGCUCCAAACCAUGAGGAAUCAGAAUCACAACUUUCAGAGUAAUAACUCACAUUUUUUCUAAAGCAUAGGAAGCUAAUUUUGUAUAAUGAACAAAUGUGGUUGUGCCAAAAUAGGUUUUGCCACAGUUAAUUUCCACUUUCUCUUCUUAAAAAUAAGGUAUAGUCCAAGCUAAUGUAGAUAAGGAAAGGCACGAUACCAACAAACUGCAAAACAAAGUAUAGCCCCAAAGCCAUGCACUUUUUAGAGUCAUGAGUAGGGACAAUGAAAAAAUUAAGGUGCAAAAUAGAUGUGAACUUCCACAAUCUUUCAAUGGACUGUCUUAAUAGUUUAAUUUAAAAGCAUAGGAUUUUUCAUAUAUCUUCAGAUAGUCAAUUAGAGAGUUUUUUUUCUUCUUUAAAUGGAAGAAUUUCUUAAAUGGAAGCACAAGAUCAUACCUACACAGCUGGUGAGCCUCAAAAUAGAAUAAUGUCUACUUUAUUAAUAAAGUUUCCAGUCAGGCAGAAUCAAGAGUAAUCUUCAUAUAUGCAUAAGGAUAUUAUCAUUAUAACAAUAUUUUUAGUAGAAAAGUCUAUAAACAAAUGUUCUCCCAAAGGGACAUCCAUAUAAUGGAAUCCUGGAGACAUUAAAAUAAUGUUAGAGCUGGAAGGUGGCAAUAUGGAAAGACAACCAAGUUAAACAAGAACCAAGUCACAAAAUUGAACAUUUAAAAUAAGAACAGGAAGAGGCAUAUAGAGAGAGAGCCAUAUAUAAAAUAAAUGAUAACAUUUCUUAAAGACUACACAAGAAUACAAGAAAUUAUAUACCUCUGGGGUGUGAGAAUAAAGUCACAGAGGGAGACAUACUUUUUGACUUUAUGCCCUUUGUGUAUACUGCAUAAUUUUUAGAAAUCAUAAGCAUAUAUUAUAACAUACAAAAAACCUUUAAAGUCUUUAAAAAACCUGAUUGUAACCAAAGCAUUCUAUGAAACAUUGACUAUGUAAGAUUAGUUUACAAUCCCUUGCUGCCUUUAGUUAAUGAUCAUAUAGUCAAAAUUAGAAGGCUCCUUGGCGUUUGCUUCCUCUGUCUCUCCACUCAAGAAUGAGGGAAGAUGCUGAGAAUUUAGAAUUCAAAUUUUACUCUCAUUGCUUAAAUUGUAACUUGGAUAACAUCUCAAGAUUUCAGAGAACCGAUUAAAAAAUUAAUCUAUGGGCAUUUUAAUCACCAUCUAAAAUAUUUUAUCUAGGAUCACUUAUCUUUUUUUAUAAAAGCUCAAAUCACAACAUUCUCUUUUCAUCAGUCCCUACAGCCCUGUGUUGGACAAGCACAGAUGUCAAAAAUACACUUAAAUAUACGUUGAAUUUUUAUCCACUAGAAUAAAAUAAGCAGAAUGAUAUGCAUUCUUGGCAAUAGUCUUCACUGGAAAAUACCACUGUCAGCCCAAACUUACACAACUGACUUCAAAAUCAGACUAAGAUGUGGCAUAAGAAGAGCUAUUUCCUACCUUCACUAUAUAUUCAGGAUUUGCCAACUCCAAGGCCUUGAAAAACAUGUGAAUGUUUGAGACUAAGAAAAAUUGGGAGUGGUAAGCUAGUGGCCACCUUAAGAGUACAUGCCCCAUUUCAAAAAGAUGGAUUCAGAAUGCAACGUUUUAAAACACUGUGCUGGUCACACAAAACAGAACUGCAGACAGAAUUCAGUGUAAGCCUUGAAUGUGCAACCCCUAUAAGAGCACAAUAAUUGGACUUUUUAAAACCAAGGUUCACAAUACUUGGGUCUUUGCAGAUUAAAUACCUCAGUGCCCAGUAUAUCUCUAAAAGUAAACAAGUGUUCAAAUGCUUGCUAAAUGAAUUAACAAUAUAAAAGCUCUCCAAAUACUGGAUAUAAUCAUCAAAUGACCAAUACAUUUAAUUAAUGAGUUGUGGAAUUGUAUGUCCUUUGCUGUGCUGAAGCUGGUUUGCAAAGGCUUGGGAAAGCCACUGGUUGGCUAUCUCUUUCAUCAAACUGCAUUUAAUGACAUCAGAUUGGCAGGUAAAAUCACCAUGAAGACAGUAUUUAUACCAUAAAUAUUAGUAAAUGCUACAAAACAGGGCCUUUUUUCUUUCAUGAAAGAUGGUUGUUAAACAUUCAGCAGCACAACACUGGAUUACAUCGUGGUUAUAUAUUCAUCUGUUCACAAACAACCACGUGAAAAGUUUAAUGUCACUAAGUUUUAAAACAUAAAAAGAAAAACUUAACUGAGGAUGAAUACAACAGGUUAAUUAAAUACAAAAUUUAAUAUCACCUUUUAAAAAAUAAAUUUUAAAAGUGUAUAGGCCACAAACUGUAUCAAUAAAGGUGGAAUGCUUUACAAAAUAGGAGUCUGUGAUACUUCAGAUGAGUCUUCAAUCUAAAGCACGCUCCACUGGUUACCAUAUU
rnacentral:lncRNA from 1 species